rnacentral:rRNA from 1 species
UCCGGUUGAUCCUGCCGGACCCGACUGCUAUUUGGGUGAGAAUAAGCCAUGCGAGUCGAAUGGGAUACCUAAAUUUCCCAUGGCAAACUGCUCAGUAACACAUGAUCAACUUACCCUAUAGAGACAAAUAACCUCGGGAAACUGAGGAUAAUUUUUCGUAGUUGAAUAGGCUUGGAAAAGUUAUUCAAUAAAAAGGAUAAAAAAAAUGGUUUUUAUCUGCUAUAGGAUAGGAUCGUGGACGAUUAUGGUUGUUGGUGAGGUAACGGCUCACCAAGCCGAUAAUCGUUAGGGGCCGUGAGAGCGGGAGCCCCGAGAUGGGUACUGAGACAACGACCCAGGCCUUACGAGGCGCAGCAGGCGCGGAACCUCCGCAAUACACGAAAGUGUGACGGGGUUACCCAAAGUGUUCAAUUCUGAACUGUGGUAGGUGAGUAAUGUCCCCUACUAGAAAGGAGAGGGCAAGGCUGGUGCCAGCCGCCGCGGUAAAACCAGCUCUUCAAGUGGUCGGGAUAAUUAUUGGGCUUAAAGUGUCCGUAGCCGGUUUAGUAAGUUCCUGGUAAAAUCGGGUAGCUUAACUAUCUGUAUGCUAGGAAUACUGCUAUACUAGAGGGCGGGAGAGGUCUGAGGUACUACAGGGGUAGGGGUGAAAUCUUAUAAUCCUUGUAGGACCACCAGUGGCGAAGGCGUCAGACUGGAACGUGCCUGACGGUGAGGGACGAAAGCCAGGGGAGCGAACCGGAUUAGAUACCCCUGUAGUCC